GUAACAAGGUUUCCGUAGGUGAACCUGCGGAAGGAUCAUUAGUGAAUAUAGGACGUCCAACUUAACUUGGAGUCCGAACUCUCACUUUCUAACCCUGUGCACUUGUUUGGGAUAGUAACUCUCGCAAGAGAGCGAACUCCUAUUCACUUAUAAACACAAAGUCUAUGAAUGUAUUAAAUUUUAUAACAAAAUAAAACUUUCAACAACGGAUCUCUUGGCUCUCGCAUCGAUGAAGAACGCAGCGAAAUGCGAUAAGUAAUGUGAAUUGCAGAAUUCAGUGAAUCAUCGAAUCUUUGAACGCACCUUGCGCUCCAUGGUAUUCCGUGGAGCAUGCCUGUUUGAGUGUCAUGAAUACUUCAACCCUCCUCUUUCUUAAUGAUUGAAGAGGUGUUUGGUUUCUGAGCGCUGCUGGCCUUUACGGUCUAGCUCGUUCGUAAUGCAUUAGCAUCCGCAAUCGAACUUCGGAUUGACUUGGCGUAAUAGACUAUUCGCUGAGGAAUUCUAGUCUUCGGACUAGAGCCGGGUUGGGUUAAAGGAAGCUUCUAAUCAGAAUGUCUACAUUUUAAGAUUAGAUCUCAAAUCAGGUAGGACUACCCGCUGAACUUAAGCAUAUC
rnacentral:misc_RNA from 1 species